rnacentral:rRNA from 1 species
ACUCGCCUGCAUGAAGUCGGAAUUGCUAGUAAUCGUAGGUCAGCAUACUACGGUGAAUACGUUCCCGGGCCUUGUACACACCGCCCGUCAAACCAUGAGAGUUGGCAACACCCGAAGUCGGUAGUCUAACCGCAAGGAGGACGCCGCCGAAGGUGGGGUUGAUGAUUAGGGUUAAGUCGUAACAAGGUAGC